rnacentral:lncRNA from 1 species
AGGGAGAGGAGGAAGAAGAGGAGGAGAUAGGAAGAAGAGUGUUUCCAAGUCGGUUAAGGCCGGUCUCCAGUUCCCUGUUGGUCGUAUCGCUCGUUUCCUGAAGAAGGGUCGGUACGCGAUUCGGUAUGGCUCCGGUGCUCCGGUCUACCUCGCCGCCGUUCUCGAGUACCUCGCUGCCGAGGUAAAUCUCAGAUCUCCUUCUUUCUUUGCAUUUUUCUUAUUAGAUGUGCAUUCUGAUUGUAUUUUAGAGAAAUGGUUCGUCGGAAAUUGAUUUAGG